CCUACGGGUGGCUGCAGUGGGGAAUAUUGCACAAUGGGCGCAAGCCUGAUGCAGCCAUGCCGCGUGUGUGAAGAAGGCCUUCGGGUUGUAAAGCACUUUCAGCGGGGAGGAAGGCGUUAAGGUUAAUAACCUUGUCGAUUGACGUUACCCGCAGAAGAAGCACCGGCUAACUCCGUGCCAGCAGCCGCGGUAAUACGGAGGGUGCAAGCGUUAAUCGGAAUUACUGGGCGUAAAGCGCACGCAGGCGGUCUGUCAAGUCGGAUGUGAAAUCCCCGGGCUCAACCUGGGAACUGCAUUCGAAACUGGCAGGCCAGAGUCUUGUAGAGGGGGGUAGAAUUCCAGGUGUAGCGGUGAAACGCGUAGAGAUCUGGAGGAAUACCGGUGGCGAAGGCGGCCCCCUGGACAAAGACUGACGCUCAGGUGCGAAAGCGUGGGGAGCAAACAGGAUUAGAUACCCCUGUAGUC
rnacentral:rRNA from 1 species